rnacentral:ncRNA from 2 species
CUCUUAUUCAGAACCACGAGAUGAGGAUCGACGAAGUGGUGGCAACCCUUAAUAAAGAAGGUGCCUGACCUAGCAAGUUUACUUGAACAAUAAGAG